UACGGAGGGUGCAAGCGUUAUCCGGAUUCACUGGGUUUAAAGGGUGCGUAGGUGGGCAGGUAAGUCAGUGGUGAAAUCUCCGGGCUUAACCCGGAAACUGCCGUUGAUACUAUCUGUCUUGAAUAUUGUGGAGGUAAGCGGAAUAUGUCAUGUAGCGGUGAAAUGCUUAGAUAUGACAUAGAACACCAAUUGCGAAGGCAGCUUACUACACAGUUAUUGACACUGAGGCACGAAAGCGUGGGGAUCAAACAGG
rnacentral:rRNA from 1 species